ensembl:misc_RNA Metazoa_SRP Metazoan signal recognition particle RNA
GCUAGACAUGAUGGUAUAUACCUGUAGUCCCAGCUAUUUGGGAGAUUGAGGUAGGAGGAUCACUUGAGUUCAGGAGUUCUGAGCUAUGGCGCAUUAUGCUGAUCAGGUGUGUGAACCAAGUUCAGCAUAAUAUGGUGACCUCCCAGGGGCAGGGUACGACAACAACCCAUCAGGUUGCCUAAGGAAGGGUAAAGAGGCCCAGUUCAGAAAUGGAGCAGGUCAAAACUCCCAUACUGCUCCGUAGUAGGGACAGCGCCUGUAAACAGCCACUGCACUUCAGCUUGGGAAACAUUGCAAAACCCUGUCGCUU